rnacentral:rRNA from 1 species
GUUAAAAAGCUCGUAGUUGGAUUUCUGUGGGGGCGGAGCGGCCGGCCGCAACUUGCGGUUCGAGCUAGCGCUUCCCCUACAUCCUGCCGCGAACCGUGCUACCAUUAGUUUGGUGGCGCCGGGGAUCGGCUCGUUUACUUUGAGAAAAAUAGAGUGUUCAAAGCAGGCCACACGCCUUGAAUAAGUUAGCAUGGAAUAAUAAUAAAGGACUUCGGUUCUAUUUUGUUGGUGUUCGGGACUGAAGUAAUGAUUGAUAGGGACAGUUGGGGCGGUCAGUAUUCCAAAGCGAGAGGUGAAAUUCUUAGACCUUCGGAAGACUAACAGCUGCGAAAGCGUUCCGCAAGGAUGUUCCCUUUGAUCAAGAACGAAAGUUGGGGGAUCGAAGACGAUCAGAUACCGUCGUAGUCUCAACUAUAAACUAUACCAGCUAGGGAUCGGCCAACGUUAAAUUAUUCGACUUGGUCGGCACCUUAUGAGAAAUCAAAGCAUCUGGGUUCCGGGGGGAGUAUGGUCGCAAGGCUGAAACUUAAAGGAAUUGACGGAAGGGCACCACCAGCCGUGGAGCCUGUGGCUUAAUUUGACUCAACACGGGAAAACUUACCAGGUCCAGACAUAGUAAGGAUUGACAGAUUGA